rnacentral:rRNA from 1 species
CAAGUCGAACGCAGUAGCAAUACUGAGUGGCAGACGGGUGAGUAACAUGUGGGAAUCUGCCCUGUGGUUCAGGACAACAUUGGGAAACUGAUGCUAAUACUGGAUAAGCCCUUACGGGGAAAGUUUUAAUGCCAUAAGAUGAGCCCGCAUUUGAUUAGUUAGUUGGUGAGGUAAUGGCUCACCAAGACAAUGAUCAAUAGCUGAUCUGAGAGGAUGAUCAGCCACACUGGGACUGAGACACGGCCCAGACUCCUACGGGAGGCAGCAGUGGGGAAUCUUGCACAAUGGAGGAAACUCUGAUGCAGCGAUGCCGCGUGAGUGAAGAAGGCCUUUGGGUUGUAAAGCUCUUUUGUAGGGGAAGAUAAUGACUGUACCCUAAGAAUAAGGUCCGGCUAACUUCGUGCCAGCAGCCGCGGUAAUACGAAGGGACCUAGCGUAGUUCGGAAUUACUGGGCGUAAAGCGCGCGUAGGCCGUUGAGUUAGUUAAUUGUGAAAUCCCAAAGCUUAACUUUGGAACUGCAAUUAAAACUGCUCGACUAGAGUUUGAUAGAGGAAAGCGGAAUACAUAGUGUAGAGGUGAAAUUCGUAGAUAUUAUGUAGAACACCAGUUGCGAAGGCGGCUUUCUGGAUCAACACUGACGCUGAGGCGCGAAAGUAUGGGUAGCAAAGAGGAUUAGAUACCCUCGUAGUCCAUACCAUAAACGAUGAUUGCUAGAUGUUGGAAAUUUAUUUUCAGUAUCGCAGCUAACGCAUUAAGCAAUCCGCCUGGGGAGUACGACCGCAAGGUUAAAACUCAAAUGAAUUGACGG